UGUGGAGUUUUACCCUCUGCUCUUCUGGCCACCCUCCUGAUGGAUCCCUGCGGUGCCAGGCAGGAAUGGGCUGCUUGGGGACCCGGUGAGCCCCCCAGGGCCUUUCUGCUGCUUUCUCUACCCCUGUAUUUUGCUUGGCUCAGCUCUCUAACUUGACUCAGCUCCAGGGACAAAAGAGGAACCUCUGGCAAGGCUAUGCCUGCUACCUGCCUUGUGAUUGGGCAGAAACUCCCACCCGUGGGAGCUGAAACUGGUUUUUAGAGAAAAUUUUCUUUGAACUGGAGGAUACAUUGUGAUUUUGGCAUCUGUAGCUGAUACUCUGCAUUGCCAUGAACCAAGAUGACAGCCUCUUAAGGCAACUGUGCAUGAUGAGAGCUGACUUGCGCAUUGCUGCCUGCCUUAGUUAGUGCUGAGGGUGCUGUACUAUGGCUGGCAAAAUUUUAUGGAAGACAGCAGAGCCCAGCAAUAGAUCAACUGAUUUCAAUCGUUCAUUCAACCACAUUUGCUGAAUGUCUACCAUGUACCAGUUAGGUGCUGGCAAUACAGUGAUGAAUACAAGAACGUGGUCCCUGAUUUGAUAAAAUUUAUAAUCUAAUUAACAGCAGUUCUCCCAUAUCUGUGGUUUUGUUUUCCAUGGCUUCAGUUGUCCAUGGUUAAUUUGAUCCAAAAAUAUUAAAUGGAAAUUCCAGAAAUAAACAAUUCAUAAGUUUUAAAUUGUGCUCUGUUUUGAGUAGUGUGAUGAGAUUUCGCUUUGUCCCACUACGUCUUGCCUGGGAUGCGAAUCUUCCCUUUGUUCAGCGUCUCCACGCUGUUGACACUUGCUGCCCAUGAGUAACUUAAUAUCCACCUUGGUCGAGGGAUCACCGUGCUUGUGUUCGAGGAAUACCUAUUUUAUUUUACCAGUGGCCCCAAAAUGCAAGAGUGAUGAUGCGGGUAUAUUGUUAUAAUUGUUCUAUUUUAUUAUUAGCUAUUAUUGUUAAUCUCUUACUGUGCCUAAUUUAUAAAUCAAAUUUUAUCAUAGGCAUGUACGUAUAGGAAAAAAUAGGAAAAAACCGUAUAUAGGGCUUGGUACCAUCUGAAGUUUCAGACAUCCACUGGGGGUCUUAGAAUGUAUCCUCCACAGAUAAGAGGAGAUUCCUAGUUUCAUUCCUUAAAUCAGUAAGAAACCAAGUAACAUGGGGUUCCAAGGCUUACACUUUGACUGUUUUGGAUAAUGAUAAUGAGUUUUGAAGGAAUCGAUUUUUAUCCCUUUCUGUUGAACUGUCUUCUAGCUGUGGCAUUGCAUGAGAGGGAAGCAGCCAAGACCGUAAGAGCUGUGUCGCUCUAAUUAGGUGCCAGGAGGAAGUGGAAAUGAAUUCAGAGCCACACAUUCUCCAUUUUUCAUAUCUUAAACACAGAAGACACUAUCAGAGAUUUCCAGGUGACCGCAAUGAGAAAAGGGCCUUUUGUCCCACUAUGUCUUGCCUGGGACGCAAAAUCUUUAGUUUGUUUCCAUUAUUGAUAAAAUAAACAUAUAUAGUACAUGAUUUUAUGUCCCCCAUGUUCAUUUAAACAAUUUAUAGUGUUUAUUAUUUGUCUGAUUUUGGAAAGAAUACAUAUUUACUAUAGAAAAUUUUUAAAUGUAGUCAAAAGAAGAAAAAGCCUGCUCAAAUUCCCUCACUCGGAAGUACUCCUUGUAAACAGUCUCUUUUGUGUAUGUUUGUUUGUGUGUAUUACUAAAUUGUAUAUAUUUUGUAUAUUUAAUUUUAUAUCCUCUUUUAUUCACUCAAAAUUAUACCUUUAGUAUUUUCUCAUAUAAUUAAAUAACUUUUAAUUUACAAACUUGUGGAAAAAUAGCUUUAUAAUGUUUUAUUUUGGAAAAAUAAUUAUUUAUUGUCCAAGUAUUACCAUAAAAAUACUUUAAAAAAAGAUUACGCUGCUGACAAAUUUAUGUUAGACUUUUUUCUUUAAUGAUUUCUUCAUAUGUAGUUGUUGUAUAGCUGAGCAUAGGAAAUUAAAAAGCCUCUUUAAAGAUCUGUACUUUCUCAAGGUUGGUAUUUAAAGGAUAAAAGCAACACUACUUUCAUUUGUAAAAGUAAUUGACAUUUAACAAACAUCGCUAAUAUUUUGGUUUAUGUUCUUCUGGAUCAUUCGAUGCCAAUGUGUGUAUAAAUGAAACAAAAAUAUGAUGAAUUCGACAGUACAUUGCAAAUAUUUUUCUAGUAAUAGUAUAUGCAGUCUACAUCAUCUCUUCUAAUGGCUACAAGAUUUUCCAUUGUUAGGAUAGAUACAAAUUUAUUUAAUUAAUAUACUGUUAUUGGAUAUUUAUGUUGCAAUUU
rnacentral:sRNA from 1 species